AGAGGGGUGCGAGCGUUAAUCGGACUUACUGGGCGUAAAGGGUGCGUAGGCGGUGAGCUAAGUCAGUUGUGAAAGCCCAGGGGCUUAACCUUGGAAUAGCAAUUGAUACUGGUUGACUAGAAUCGAGUAGAGGGGAGUGGAAUUUCCGGUGUAGCGGUGAAAUGCGUAGAUAUCGGAAGGAACACCCGUGGCGAAGGCGACUCCCUGGACUCAGAUUGACGCUGAGGCACGAAAGCGUGGGUAGCGAACAGGAUUAGAUACCCUGGUAGUCCACGCUGUAAACGAUGAGUACUAGCUGUUGGCCUCCUUGAGGGGUCAGUAGCGGAGCAAACGCAUUAAGUACUCCGCCUGGGGAUUACGGCCGCAAGGCUA
rnacentral:rRNA from 1 species